GUAGAUAUUUUGUAAAAAACAAUUUCUUUCUUGGGGUCUGGAGCUCCAGUGGUACAGUUGGUCACACAGGCACUAUAAGUUUGGGUAACUGACACCAGACUCCUGGAUUCAAUCAAGUUUUCCUGACUGACAACACUUUGCAGGGACUGUCACGAUUUGUUGCUGGAGAAAUAAGUGUGUCCUGGGUGACUUCACUGGGAGAGACUCUUGGAAGUCUGCACUUGGUUUCCCCUGGACUUCAUCCUUUGUUGAAUUUGCUCUGUACUCUUCACAAUAAUAAACCAUAAUUCUUGGCUCUAGUGGACACUUCUUGGCUCGAAGAAGAGUAGAAGAUGGCCUAUGGGGCAAUGGUGACAGGGUUACCUCCUCUGCCCCGUAAGUCAACUUGAACUCCUGACUUCCUCUCAGCACCAGCUUCCUGGAAAAUGCAAGAAGCCCAGACUUCUAAAACCUUUUGCCAUUCCCAUCCCCUGCUGCCCACCAUACUCAUCUCCGUGACCACAGUCAUUGAUCAACAUUAAAACCGCUAAUUUGUAUCAGACAUUCUUUCAACUCUUUCACCAAGAUUGCCUGAAAUGUUGAAAUACAAUAAAAUGUAAAUGAGCCCCAAAAUA